GCGCAAUCACUUGUCUCCUAAAUAGAGACUAGUAUGAACGGUUAAAUGAGGAUCAACCUGUCUCUUAUGGACAAUUAAUGAAACUGAACUUCCAGUACAAAUGCUGGAAUAAUUUUAUAAGACGAGAAGACCCUGUGGAACUUCAAACAAACCAUGAAACUACCAAUCGUAUAUAGUUUUUAGUUGGGGCGACUUUGGAAACAAAAAAAACUUCCAAGCAUAGGACCACAACUCCACAAAUACGGCUAACAAGCCAAAUUAUUAGCUAGACCCGGAAAAAUUUUUUCGGAAAAACGAA
rnacentral:rRNA from 1 species